rnacentral:rRNA from 1 species
UAGCCAGACUCCUACGGGAGGCAGCAGUGGGGGAUAUUGCACAAUGGGGGAAACCCUGAUGCAGCGACGCCGCGUGGGUGAAGAAGCGCCUCGGCGCGUAAAGCCCUGUCAGCAGGGAAGAAAAUGACGGUACCUGAAGAAGAAGCCCCGGCUGACUACGUGCCAGCAGCCGCGGUAAUACGUAGGGGGCAAGCGUUAUCCGGAUUUACUGGGUGUAAAGGGGGCGCAGACGGCGAUGCAAGCCAGGAGUGAAAGCCCGGGGCCCAACCCCGGGACUGCUCUUGGAACUGCGUGGCUAGAGUGCAGGAGGGGCAGGCGGAAUUCCUGGUGUAGCGGUGAAAUGCGUAGAUAUCAGGAGGAACACCGGUGGCGAAGGCGGCCUGCUGGGCCACGACUGACGCUGAGGCGCGAAAGCUAGGGGAGCGAACAGGAUUAGAUACCCCAGUA